AGGUGCCAGAACUCCUGCCUUUCCAAGACGAGCUCAUCCCCAUCAUCACCAUACCCAGGAAUACUUGUUCAUAGCCAGCUCAGAGGUGCACCAUACUUUAGCUUCCCACGGCCUUCACUCGUUUUCUCCUGUGGGUGAAUUCUAACUAGGCUCGCCUGGCACCAAAGAUGGAAACAGAGAAUAGAUCCUGAACACCAGGAAGAUGGUGACAAGGUGAUAGAGAAACAGAUGGCACAUUCAAACAAGGGCCCUGAAGUGAUCCUCCUCCUGUUCACUGACACCCGUUGCCAAGAGAGAGAGAGAAAAAGAGAGAGAGAGAGAAGCAGGAAGAGAGGAGAGGGUGCUGGCCUUAUUAGAGAAAGAAUGUAAGGGGAAAGAAAACAAUCAUGUUAGCUUUGAUUUCUGUAAUAAGUCUGUAUCACAGACAG
rnacentral:lncRNA from 1 species